UACAGAGGGGGCAAGCGUUAUUCGGAAUUAUUGGGCGUAAAGGGCGCGUAGGCGGCCAUUCAAGUGACGGGUGAAAGCCCUCGGCUUAACCGAGGAACUGCCUGUCAGACUGGAUGGCUUGAGACCGGGAGAGGUGAGUGGAAUUCCCAGUGUAGCGGUGAAAUGCGUAGAUAUUGGGAGGAACACCAGUGGCGAAGGCGGCUCACUGGACCGGAACUGACGCUGAGGCGCGAAAGCUAGGGGAGCAAACAGG
rnacentral:rRNA from 1 species